GCCUGGGUGGCUCAGUGGUUGAGCAUCUGCCUUCAGCUCAGGCCAUGGUCCCAGGGUUGUGGGAUCAAAUCCCGCAUCAGGCU
rnacentral:tRNA from 1 species